UCCAUUCGUCGAGAGCUUCGCAACGACAUAAAUUUCGAAUUUUUCCGACACCGUUUUUCGGUGGGUCCCACGGAACUUCGCAGUGUAUUUUCGAGCAUUUAAUGAGCUUAGAAAAUUCUGAAAAAUUUAUGUACUAACCCCCGUGUUAUGGGCUUCGUGUAGGUAUCCUCGAUUCGCGGAAAUUCGACAGUUGACCGGGUCUGCAAAAUUCCGGUCAGACAGACCCGUUACCGGAAAAGUCUCCGAAUUGGACCGAGGUUUUGGCUAGCCCCCCAUUGUCAGACGUUCCGAGCGCGUUCCCGAAGUCGGAAUCGGCAAAGGUGAGCCGGGACAGCCUUCUUCCUCCACCCAGCCGCCACAGUGAUUGUCGUCAAGUCUGCCACAGGAGGAUAUUUUGUUCUGGGUUAACCUGCUUUUCUACUUCGCAGGUUGUUUAUCAAUAUUUGUGUAAUUUUAUUUACUCCUAGAAUUUCCGCAUGUGUUAGCAGUAAUUAUUUGAAUUUGGUCUGUAAUAUUAUUAUCAUGUUGGACCUGUAAA